GUGGGGAAUAUUGCACAAUGGGCGCAAGCCUGAUGCAGCCAUGCCGCGUGUGUGAAGAAGGCCUUCGGGUUGUAAAGCACUUUCAGCGGGGAGGAAGGCGUUAAGGUUAAUAACCUUGGCGAUUGACGUUACCCGCAGAAGAAGCACCGGCUAACUCCGUGCCAGCAGCCGCGGUAAUACGGAGGGUGCAAGCGUUAAUCGGAAUUACUGGGCGUAAAGCGAACGCAGGCGGUCUGUCAAGUCGGAUGUGAAAUCCCCGGGCUCAACCUGGGAACUGCAUUCGAAACUGGCAGGCUAGAGUCUUGUAGAGGGGGGUAGAAUUCCAGGUGUAGCGGUGAAAUGCGUAGAGAUCUGGAGGAAUACCGGUGGCGAAGGCGGCCCCCUGGACAAAGACUGACGCUCAGGUGCGAAAGCGUGGGGAGCAAACAGGAUUAGAAACCCCGGUAGUCC
rnacentral:rRNA from 1 species